AACGAACGCUGGCGGCAUGCCUAACACAUGCAAGUCGAACGAGACCUUCGGGUCUAGUGGCGCACGGGUGCGUAACGCGUGGGAACCUGCCCUUGGUUCGGAAUAACUCCCCGAAAGGGGUGCUAAUACCGGAUAAUGUCUUCGGACCAAAGAUUUAUCGCCUUUGGAUGGGCCCGCGUUGGAUUAGCUAGUUGGUAGGGUAAAAGCCUACCAAGGCGACGAUCCAUAGCUGGUCUGAGAGGAUGAUCAGCCACACUGGGACUGAGACACGGCCCAGACUCAUACGCGAGGCAGGAGAGGGUGAUGGAGGAAAGGCGGCGGAGGGAUGAUGGAGCUAGGACGCGAGAGUGAUGAUAGUAUGGAGGAAGAAAAGCGCAAUGAACUGUGAACAUAAUGACGGUACCGGAAGAGAAAGCCACGGCUAACUACGUG
rnacentral:rRNA from 1 species